CCUACGGGUGGCAGCAGUCGAGAAUCAUUCACAAUGGGGGAAACCCUGAUGGUGCGACGCCGCGUGGGGGAAUGAAGGUCUUCGGAUCGUAAACCCCUGUCAUGUGGGAGCAAAUUAAAAAGAUAGUACCACAAGAGGAAGAGACGGCUAACUCUGUGCAAGCAGCCGCGGAAAUACAGAGGUCUCAAGCGUUGUUCGGAAUCACUGGGCGUAACGCGUGCGUAGGCUGUUUCGUAAGUCGUGUGUGAAAGGCGCGGGCUCAACCCGCGGACGGCACAUGAUACUGCGAGACUAGAGUAAUGGAGGGGGAAGCGGAAUUCUCGGUGUAGCAGUGAAAUGCGUAGAUAUCGAGAGGAACACUCGUGGCGAAGGCGGGUUCCUGGACAGUAACUGACGCUGAGGCACGAAGGCCAGGGGAGCGAAAGGGAUUAGAUACCCUAGUAGUC
rnacentral:rRNA from 1 species